AGAAAAGCAGGGNGAUCGUCANGACCUUGCCGUUAAUGGAGCGGCCGAUAUCUGAUUAGCUAGUUGGUGGGGUAAAGGCCCACCAAGGCUUCGACCAGUAGCUGGUCUGAGAGGACGACCAGCCACACUGGAACUGAGACACGGUCCAGACUCCUACGGGAGGCAGCAGUGGGGAAUUUUGGACAAUGGGCGCAAGCCUGAUCCAGCCAUUCCGCGUGAGUGAAGAAGGCCUUCGGGUUGUAAAGCUCCUUCGCAAGGGAAGAAAACUUACCUUCUAAUAAAGGGUGAGGCUGACGGUACCUUGAUAAGAANCACCGGCUAACUACGUGCCAGCAGCCGCGGUAAUACGUAGGGUGCGANCGUUAAUCGGAAUUACUGGGCGUAAAGCGUGCGCAGGCGGUNUNGUAAGUCAGAUGUGAAAGCCCUGCGCUCAACCUGCGAACUGCGUNNGAAACNACAAGGC
rnacentral:rRNA from 1 species